UGGGGAAUUUUGGACAAUGGGCGAAAGCCUGAUCCAGCAAUGCCGCGUGUGUGAAGAAGGCCUUCGGGUUGUAAAGCACUUUUGUCCGGAAAGAAAUGGCUCUGGUUAAUACCUGGGGUCGAUGACGGUACCGGAAGAAUAAGGACCGGCUAACUACGUGCCAGCAGCCGCGGUAAUACGUAGGGUCCAAGCGUUAAUCGGAAUUACUGGGCGUAAAGCGUGCGCAGGCGGUUGUGCAAGACCGAUGUGAAAUCCCCGAGCUUAACUUGGGAAUUGCAUUGGUGACUGCACGGCUAGAGUGUGUCAGAGGGGGGUAGAAUUCCACGUGUAGCAGUGAAAUGCGUAGAGAUGUGGAGGAAUACCGAUGGCGAAGGCAGCCCCCUGGGAUAACACUGACGCUCAUGCACGAAAGCGUGGGGAGCAAACAGGAUUAGAUACCCUGGUAGUCCACGCCCUAAACGAUGCCAACUAGUUGUUGGGGAUUCAUUUCCUUAGUAACGUAGCUAACGCGUGAAGUUGACCGCCUGGGGAGUACGGUCGCAAGAUUAAAAGC
rnacentral:rRNA from 1 species